GUGCCUGGCUGUACGAGACCCUGGCCCGGGCAUGGGCGGAAUUGGCGUAGUAAGGGUUGCCCUGGGAGUCCAGGUGGUUGAAGAAGACGUCGACUUCAUCCGGAGGUUAUUUCGGAAAGAGUUGUUGUAGGAGGGAGGAACGAGGCCGACCCCACAGCCUGAGCACCCCAAAGCAAAAGGAGGAUAAAGAGGAGAACUUUGCACAUACAAAAAACAGAAGAAAAAAAAAGGCGAAGGGGUGAAAGAGUCGGCGGAGAGGAGCGGCCGUGCCCCGAUGUGCCUGGGUAAUUUUAAAUCAUGCAAAGCCCCGUAAAGCUGCCGCACGGGACUGGGACGGGAGGACUCUCCGGCAGGCAGGUGCAGAGAGAGCGGGGCCGGGCCCUGCCGGCUUUCUGGGCAGAACAAA